rnacentral:rRNA from 1 species
UACGUAGGGGGCAAGCGUUGUCCGGAUUUAUUGGGCGUAAAGAGCGUGUAGGCGGUUUGGUAGGUCCGUUGUGAAAACUCGAGGCUCAACCUCGAGACGCCGAUGGAAACCAUCAGACUAGAGUCCGGAAGAGGAGAGUGGAAUUCCUGGUGUAGCGGUGAAAUGCGCAGAUAUCAGGAAGAACACCCGUGGCUAAGGCGGCUCCCUAGUACGGUACUGACGCUGAGACGCGAAAGCGUGGGGAGCGAACAGG